rnacentral:misc_RNA from 1 species
CGUCGCGUAACGCCGUGGCGGUCGCUAUCGAUCCGGAGCGCGAAUGGAGGCAUAGGGUACAGAAAGCGACGUUCUCCCGCGCGCGCAUGGUCGAAAAUCGAUCCCUUGCAGUUGAAAAGAUAAUCGGCGCAGAACUCUGCCUUUCUCAUACAGAGUGACGGGCAAACAACACGCGCAAAGUGAGGCCUUCUUCACAAAGUCACAAGUAUUGCAAUGCUGAUAAAAUUUCUCGACAAAUCCGGUCGCAGGUUCCUGCGGGCAAUCAAGAAACUGUCCACCAGGAACCGAAAGACCAAAAAAUCGCGCAAUUCCAGCUCCUCGCACACGAUCAUUCCUGACCUCGAGACGACUUCGCUGUCCUGGUCUUUGCCGUCCUUGGAUGCCAAGAGCAUUGACACAUACAUGACAUACGUACCCGAAAGUCAAGAGGACUAUACGUCGAGCUGCAGCUACUGCUGUGACGAAUACGAGGAGAAUCAAAGGAAUGAGAACAGAGAAAAUGAGAUGAUAAUCUAACGUUCAUAUCAUUAGACCAUUAGCUGGAGUUUGUUCUCGGCCUCCACGGUCAAAUUUGUCGCACAGCAAUCACAUCAACGGGAUGAAAAAACAAUUGCACGUAUCAUUUGAUAUGAAAAUAGGAAGGAAGCAGCGCGACACGCAUUAUUGUCUUUUUUAACACAUUGACUGGCCAUGUCACACAUAUACAGGUGACAGGUAUAUUUUACUGAAGGUUGUCGUCUAUAACCCAAUGAAAAUAAAUUGCAGUUUUGAUGCGACAGUGAUGUCAUUUUCAAUAAGUCGUUUCUACUGGGUAUUCAACUACGAUUGACCGUCUUAUUUAUUUAAUCUUAUGAGAUCAUGUAAAAAGUAUAAACUUGCUCAUAUUUUAGUAUUUAUAGUGGAUCAAACCUGGCAAGAGUCUCGAUGUUCAGACUGUUUUAUUAUAAAACUAUAAAGUUUUCAAAACACGUAUCAGUAUUUCGCGCGAGGAUAAUAUUCGACAUAUAUAACUUAUUAUCGGAUGUAAUUCGACAUUUCGCAAACUCUUGUAAGAUAUUUUUUCGCGUCAUAUAUUUAUCUUAAUUGUUAGAUGAAUAAUUUACUUUUGCGAUUUACAAGUUGUACCAUACAUAUAAUACAUCCACAGCACGGUUUUCUGUCCAAAAGAUUCUUAUAUAUAAUCAAUAUUGGAAUUUCUGGAUUUUAGGAAAUUAGAUUUAAUUAGAAUAAUAAUAAUAAUAAAAGAAUUUUUAAAAAAUAGAACGGAUAAAGAGUAAGUCAUGGAGAAGUCAUUUACUUCUGCAAUUAACUUACACUAUGUACAUCUACAUAUAUUUUUAUGAGACAUUCAAAUGUAUUAUAUUGAAAUAAUAAGAUAUUGCUUUAUUAAUGUCGUACUGGAGUAUUCCGAUGUUCUUCAUUUAUUGGCCGAUAAAAGGAGAUUUGACUUCUUGUUUCGAUUGUCACUAUUAACUAUUUUAUAUUUUAAAAUAACCUUGUUAAAUUAGUCUAAUAUACAAUCAAUCUUUAGUAUAAGAAUUUCAGGUUUUUUUAUACAGAAAGCAUUUCUUUAUUCUUUUAUAUAUAUAUAUAUAUAUUCCUUCUUUAUUAUAAAGACAGCAUUUAAAAGUCUUAAUUUAAAUAAACUAACAAAUUUUUGUACGAUUUAGUCUAGAAUUCGUCACGUUCCAGUUAGAUAUAGAAGGUACAGACGCAAGCCUAAUCACUUAUAUUAAGGUUUUCAAAUUCUCGAUCAUUUCGAGCAACUUUGCUCAAACGCGAAGUCAAUUUUCGUUAAAAUAUAGCAAAAUAUCUUUAUUCCUCCUAUGCGUUGACUUAUCAAAAACAAGACGUGCGCACGCGUGUGGGUGUGUGUGACAAUAUAUAUAUAUAUAUAUAUAUAUAUGUACAGGUGAGUGGGUGGGUAUAUGUGCAAGAACUGUAAUAACUUAUAUCAAUAUAGUAUGCAAAAAUUGUACGUACAUAAAAAAUAUAAAUAUUUAAACAUAUACAUAGGCGUAUAAUGCGUGUUGAUACUUUUUCAUAAGAGUAUCAAUAAGGCUGUGAUAAUUUGUAAUAAAAAUAUAAUUAUCGUAAAUAAAACAGUUUUAUUGACAAACUUAA